CCCAUUCCUCCAAAUCAGGUGGACCAACGUGCGAGAAGCUUUGACUCAUCUAAAGGUGUGAAUACCACUCCAAUGCUCUGGGGCACAAUGUGGAAAAUUGUUAGGAUUUGAAAAGAUAAAUAGAAAAGACGAUCCGGGAAAAUUUGAUUCAAGACAGUGGCACCCAAAAUAUCACGCUGCAUCCCUUACAUGAGGAGGCGCACUUGGUGGGGAUGAUGCCCGGUGACAUAGGGUAUGAGAAUCCUCGUGGGAACUUGUUGACUGAAGUUGAAGAUACUGACGUAGAUAGUGGUCAUGUCAAUAUGGAUGCAAAGCUUAGUGGCUAGGAUACCGUGCUUGGUAAUUGGAAAGACGCUCCAUUCCCAAAUUAUCCAGGGAGGAGCUUUGGUGGUCCAUUUUGCUGUCAUUUCUGUUGUCCGGGUUAUUUGCAGGGUUGUAAUCCGGAUAUUGUCUUGUGAUCAAACCCUCUUAUCCUUUCAUUUUUGUCUAGCUUGUUUAGUCGUAGUGGUUCGUUUAAGUGUUGUCCAUGGAUGUUUCAUGUUCAUUCUAGGGUUGUACUCCAGUUUGUUUGCUUGUUUUGUUAUUCGAGUUAUUUCAUCGUUGUCUAAAUGCAAAAUUCUGGUCUUUUGUUACUUCCAAUGAUUGUUCUUCGUUUAGUUCUUUUCUAUCCUUUUGUUUUGUCUUUUGUCUAAUGUUGGUUCUAGUGCCAUGACAUGCACGCAUAAUUCUCAGUCGGAUCUUUAAAAGCUAUGUUAGUCGGGAAGCAAGGAAACCAUUUUUGAAAACGAUAAGGGCACUUGAGGGAAUAAGAACAGAUUGGGACGUUUUGAGAUUGUUUGACGCCCGAACCAUGUGAAACUGGGGCAGAUAGAACAUAAAGAAACCCUAAAGGCAAGUUUGCCAAAUUGACAGGGGGCUGUUCGUGGUAAUGAGAGUGAGGGUGUUGUCCAAUGGGGCUUGGUAAUUAACAGAUGUGAAAGGCGAAUGUGUGGAUGUGGUUAUCAAGUCUAGUACAAUUAAGAGAUGUUACAAAUGUUUUCCUGAGUCUGUUUAAUUGUGUAGUUUGCACUUGGCAUGUUUUGAAGAUUGGAAUGACGAAGGCAUUUUGUUCUGCUAUCUAAACACCUUAUCCUUUGUUACCCCUUUGAGCUUUGUUUAUUUUCUUUCAUACCCCUCUUUCGGAAUCAGUAGCAAAGAUCAGAAACACGAGCGUGAAAGAUAAGCAAAGGAAAAGAAGAAAAAAAAAGAAUGAAAAGGGAGAGAAGAAAAAUGAAAUUGAAAAAAAGAAGAGAAAAGAAAAAAAAAGAGGAAAAAGAAGAAGAAAAACAACAAAACAACAAAAGAGGAAAAGGAAGAAAGAAAAGAAAAGAAAAGAGAAAGAGAAGAGAAAAAUCACAACAAUAGAGCAAUUCAUAUGUCGUGAACUACGUUUGACAUGAUCCCGAAAGGGUACGUAGGCAGCCUCUCUGAGGUUCAGUCAUACUAAAACAAAAAUCCAAAAGUCCCCAAGAAAGAAACUGGGGCAGAAAUUGUGGUUGUUGUGAUGGAUUCCGGAAGUUGUAAUUUUAACCCAUUUUGAAAUUGUUUUGAGCCUUUUAUACCCUUUCUUUCUAACCCAUCCAAAAGCCUACAUUACGGUCCAAAGAAAGACCUUCUGAUCAAUCUUUGAGAAAUGCCAAGUUAAGAAGGUAAGGUAAUUCCUGUCAGGGGCAACACUCCGGUCCAAACAAGGAAAAUGAAAAUGAGAGAAUCUUAUUGAUGAAAAUCCUCAUGGGUAUCGCAAUGUGAUGAAAGCUGAGAGAAAUAAAAAACGAGAGAGUCUUAUUGGUGAAAACCUUCACGGGCACCUUGAGGCGACAGUAAGUUGAGAGAAAAAACGAAAUAAGAGAGGUUUGAUGGUGAAAACCUUUUGGGGCAGUAC
rnacentral:lncRNA from 1 species